GGGAAUCCUCCAACCACCGUGCUCCGACUACAUGCAGCUUUGUAUUGUACAAAACAUGUUUCUCAGCCUCUGAGAAACUAUUUAACACUUCAUUGAACUUUACAUCGAUCUCUGGUAGAGACAUGACGACGACAUGGGUGGCAUGAAAAAGAUUGUCACCAACUUUCCCACCACCAACAGAAAUUUCAACUUUCAUCCUCUUCAUAGCAAGUUCCACUAAAACCUUGCAAUCUGAAUAUUCCAGACACUGCUUUGGUAUGAAAAAAUAAAUGCAGCAACCAUGAAACCGAGCCCAUUCAUCCUUGGGACAGUACUUUUUCUUGU
rnacentral:misc_RNA from 1 species